UUUCUGAAAUCAAAUAAGAGACAGAAACUCCCAACUCCACUGUCGUGUUAGGAAGGAGGCCGGGAAAGGUUUAUUGAGCGUCUUCGAAUCUCCAGGCACCAGAGCAGCGCGGGGAAACGGGGAUAAGCGUGGAUGAGGGUCUCAGCCCUCCGUGAUGGGAUUUCAGAGGGGAGGUAAAGGACUGCCCGGAAGGGUGGCGAGUGGGGUAGUUGAUAGAAAUAACGGGGUGCGAUGAACUACGUAGGAGGGCCGCCAGUCACAUAUGGGGCGGGUGCGGAGGGCCCUCAAUCAAGGGAGGCUUCCCGGACGGCUGACACCCAAGCGGAGUCCUGACAACCUGCGUCAGGAAUAGCCAGGCGAGGAGGAGGAGGUGAGAGGAAUCCGCGUCCCAAGCGGAGAGGCAGCUUUCCCUACGCGGCACGGGACACGGCCCGCGCACAGGUGCCACGAGAGACGCGGGCGCGGGCGCAGGCGCUCGGGAGAACCCUUGCCGGGCCCUCGCGGUCCACGCGCCGCCUCCCUGCGACCGUAUCUGGUGGUCAGCCUCCUGCCCGGCAGAGGGGAAUGAGCCCCUCGUCCUGCAGGAAAACGUGGACCGCUCUCCGCCGACAGGUCCCUUCCACAGACUCACCUUGCCUUCGCCCCCAGUCUCUUUCGGUUCUGUCUUUUGGCUGGAUUGACACAAACAGGGAAGUCGCCCCCAGCGGAGGCCCGGCCCUUGACGGCGGAGGCGGCCAGGGGGCGGAGUCAAACGAGGUGGUCCCGCCUCCCGGGGGAAAGGGCGGGGCAUGCAAAUUUGAAAUGAAAGCCCGGCCACGCGGGAAGAGCAAGGGUAAAAGAUUUCUCUUUUAAAACGUGGAGAAUAAAAAAAUCAGCCCGAGUGUGUAAUGGCGUGAAUAGCGGUGUGGACGAGACAAAGAGAAUGAGGCAAGGAGCGAGGCUGGGGCUCUCACCGCGACUGUAAUGUGGAUGACGGUGGGACGGUGACGGCGGGGACGCAGGCGACAGCAUCGCUUCUCGGCCUUUUGGCUAAGAUCAAGUGUAGUAUCUGUUCUUAUCAGUUUAAUAUCUGAUACGUCCUCUAUCCGAGGACAAUAUAUUAAAUGGAUUUUUGGA